AUUGAACGCUGGCGGCAUGCUUUACACAUGCAAGUCGAACGGUAACAGGCCGCAAGGUGCUGACGAGUGGCGAACGGGUGAGUAAUGCAUCGGAACGUGCCCAGUCGUGGGGGAUAACGCAGCGAAAGCUGCGCUAAUACCGCAUACGAUCUAGGGAUGAAAGCGGGGGACCUGUAAGGGUCUCGCGCGAUUGGAGCGGCCGAUGUCAGAUUAGGUAGUUGGUCGGGUAAAGGCUCACCAAGCCGACGAUCUGUUGGUGGUCUUAGAGGACGACCAGCCACACUGGGACUAAGACACGGCCCAGACUCCGACGGGAGGCAGCAGUGGGGAGUUUUGGACAAUGGGCGCAAGCCUGAUCCAGCAAUGCCGCGUGCAGGAAGAAGGCCUUCGGGUUGUAAACUGCUUUUGUACGGAACGAAACGGCUCUGGUUAAUACCUGGGGCUAAUGACGGUACCGUAAGAAUAAGCACCGGCUAACUACGUGCCAGCAGCCGCAGUAAUAC
rnacentral:rRNA from 1 species